GUUUUUAUUUUGAGUUUUGUGUCUGGAGUGUUGUGGCAGCUAGCAGCUCAGUACCAGUCGACUUGUCAGUGCAUGAGUUUAUUGUUUGGUGAAGCAAUUUUCUACGUUGUAGCUGAGUUUCUUCGAGAUUAGGCCUGCUUCGAAUAUCCACUCUUAUCAUGUCGUCUCCAAAUGAGACCGAGAAGGCAAAGGCGCCGAGGUCUGUUAUGAAGUAUUACGUUUCUCCAGAUGUUCGCCAAGCUGUUGAAAAGGCUGAGGGUGGUGAAGUAUCAGUGGACCAGCUUUUAGAAGAUAGGAACAGAGUGGCAAAUGCAAGAGGCAAUGAGGCCUGGAGAGAGGACUACGCUCCAAAAACCCCAAAAACCCGCGCAAAAGCUAUGGUGCAGAGAGCGCCUGCUGCUGUUUUUGCUAUGGCAUGUACAUUUGGUGCUAUUGGUUAUGGACUGUGCCAGUUUAUUGCUAAGGAUAGCUUUAAGCAGCAAAUGGCAAUGAGGGCACGCGUUGGCUUCCAAGGUCUCAGCAUCUUCUUGUUCAUGUAUGCUGCGUAUCCCAUGAUCAAGGAAAGACAGGAGAAGCAGAAGGACUUCUUUCCGACGGUUGAUUCUUCGUCCGGGAAUAUUCUCCCGGAGACUACGAAGCGUGAGGUUUGAUGACACUCAUCCAGUGCAUAAAUUUGGACUAUGCCUUUUUUUAUGUCUGCAAGGACACUGUGCUGGUGAUGUUAUAUCACCAAAUUUCUCCCCAUACCUCUGUGUCUGUGUAAGUGGGUGUAUGACUGUAUUGUUGUAUUGUUUGCUCCCGGAGACAGUCGAUCACACGUUUUUUUUUGCCGUUUGGGCUCUCCAUGCUCUUUGAGUUUUAGAUCAUCUUGCAGAAUGUUGCAAGUAGUGUUCUUCGUAGCAUGCAUGAGAGCUGUUGGCACCGGUGUACUGACAUUAUACUGUCCGGCACUACAUUAUAACUACUGUUACAUCUACUACAAUAAUUCUUUCAGUAUCUACCGGUACAUUAUUCCCGAGCUUUUGAGAAAGGCGGAUGCUGUAGGACUGCUGGCUAAGCCAGGGUCCAGCACACUUUAUUUGUAUUUCUCGUGUGCUGUUGUUGAUGUUGUGCUUUUAUUUAUAGUUGUUCAACCAAACAGGCAGUGGUGCCUUCUCACAACUAGA